ensembl:lncRNA
CCUUGGGGUACGAAUUAUUUCAAAAUUUCUCCCUAACUUUACUGGAGAUCCCAGAGGUCACUAGGUUUGGGAGGGGAAGGUUAAGGCUAAGGGAUGGAAUAGAUGUUCUUUCAGGGCUGAUUGUGGAGAUUAAAAAAAAAAGAUAAAAGGUGUUUUACAACACCCUCCAGCAAAUGUGAGACACUCUAGGCCUGGGAAAACUAGAGACCCCGAGGGCCUUCUGGGUGGAGUUCUUGAGCAUGACCUGGGGCCGUGGAAGAGAGCAGCUCGGAGUAGAGGGGAAGAUGACAAGGUCAGAGCUGGUUUUGGGGUUGUGUUUGUUUGUUUUGAAGUUCUCCUAGCCUGCCCGGAGUUGGCUGCACACUCUUUAUGGGGAUAGUGAGUGAGGCCCACCAUGCCUCGAGUAGACUGUAUUCUUUCUAGGUGAAAUUUACCGAUUUUAGAAAAGGGUUAAUUUCUCUCUUUUUCUUUGAAUGAGUCAUGUGGUUUUAAUGAUUCUCCGGGUCCCAGCACAAGGCUGGAAAUGGUGGUUGAAAUAUAAGUGGGAGAGAUGGCUCAGCAGUUAAGAAGCACUUGCUGCUCUCGCAGAGGACCUGGGUCCAGUUGCCAGAACCCACAUGGAGGCUCACAACUGUCUGUGACUCUGGUUCCAGGGAAUCUGAUGCCUUCCUUAUUCCAACCGCCUCAGGCACCAGGCAUGCAUAUGGUACACAUCUGUACACACAUGCAGGAGAAAUGCUUACAGACAUCAAAUCGAAAAUAAAGUCAUCUUUAAAACAUAAAAAGAAAUAUCAGAAGUGAAAAGGUCGAUGUGAGAAGUCCACAUCCUAAUACCAAGUCCUAAAAUAACUAUGACUCCACCAGGGCCCAAGCCUGAUGACCUAACCUGAAACUCUGGAAUCCUUAUGUGGAGAGAACCAAUUCCCACAAGUUGUGCACAGCACACACACACACUACAAGCUUACUAAAUAAAUAGGAAUACCAUCAUUUCAUACUUAAAACACAAUCUCAUCAUUCAGCAAAUGUUCAAUGACACUAGCUAGAGAAGUUCCUCAAUAUUCCUUCUUUAUGGCUGUUACCUUCUCAUGGACAGGCAAUUUCAUAUAUUG